GUAGGGAAUAUUGCGCAAUGGGCGAAAGCCUGACGCAGCAACGCCGCGUGGGUGACGAAGCUCCUUGGAGUGUAAAACCCUGUCGCCGGGGAAGAAACGGUCGUUCAGGAAAUGGGACGGCCCUGACGGUACCCGGAGAGGAAGUUCCGGCUAACUCCGUGCCAGCAGCCGCGGUAACACGGGGGGAACGAGCGUUGUUCGGAUUUACUGGGCGUAAAGGGUGCGUAGGCGGGUCGGUCAGUCGGGUGUGAAAACCCGCGGCUUAACCGCGGGCUGGCAUUCGAAACUGCCGGUCUUGAGUACGGGAGAGGGAAGUGGAAUUCCUGGUGUAGCGGUGAAAUGCGUAGAUAUCAGGAGGAACACCGUUGGCGAAGGCGGCUUCCUGGACCGAUACUGACGCUGAGGCACGAAGGCCGGGGGAGCAAACAGGAUUAGAUACCCCGGUAGUCC
rnacentral:rRNA from 1 species